GGUCUGGUGGUACAGUCAUCAAUAUGUACGUCUUAAAAACAUGCCCGUCAUGGGUUCAAGCCCCGAAUAGACCG
rnacentral:tRNA from 1 species